rnacentral:rRNA from 1 species
GUAUACUGCAGUCGAGCGACAGAUGAGAAGCUUGCUUCUCUGAUGUUAGCGGCGGACGGGUGAGUAACACGUGGGUAACCUACCUAUAAGACUGGGAUAACUCCGGGAAACCGGGGCUAAUACCGGAUAAUAUUUUGAACCGCAUGGUUCAAUAGUGAAAGACGGUUUCGGCUGUCACUUAUAGAUGGACCCGCGCCGUAUUAGCUAGUUGGUAAGGUAACGGCUUACCAAGGCGACGAUACGUAGCCGACCUGAGAGGGUGAUCGGCCACACUGGAACUGAGACACGGUCCAGACUCCUACGGGAGGCAGCAGUAGGGAAUCUUCCGCAAUGGGCGAAAGCCUGACGGAGCAACGCCGCGUGAGUGAUGAAGGUCUUCGGAUCGUAAAACUCUGUUGUUAGGGAAGAACAAAUUUGUUAGUAACUGAACAAGUCUUGACGGUACCUAACCAGAAAGCCACGGCUAACUACGUGCCAGCAGCCGCGGUAAUACGUAGGUGGCAAGCGUUAUCCGGAAUUAUUGGGCGUAAAGCGCGCGUAGGCGGUUUCUUAAGUCUGAUGUGAAAGCCCACGGCUCAACCGUGGAGGGUCAUUGGAAACUGGGAAACUUGAGUGCAGAAGAGGAGAGUGGAAUUCCAUGUGUAGCGGUGAAAUGCGCAGAGAUAUGGAGGAACACCAGUGGCGAAGGCGGCUCUCUGGUCUGUAACUGACGCUGAUGUGCGAAAGCGUGGGGAUCAAACAGGAUUAGAUACCCUGGUAGUCCACGCCGUAAACGAUGAGUGCUAAGUGUUAGGGGGUUUCCGCCCCUUAGUGCUGCAGCUAACGCAUUAAGCACUCCGCCUGGGGAGUACGACCGCAAGGUUGAAACUCAAAGGAAUUGACGGGGACCCGCACAAGCGGUGGAGCAUGUGGUUUAAUUCGAAGCAACGCGAAGAACCUUACCAAAUCUUGACAUCCUUUGACCGCUCUAGAGAUAGAGUCUUCCCCUUCGGGGGACAAAGUGACAGGUGGUGCAUGGUUGUCGUCAGCUCGUGUCGUGAGAUGUUGGGUUAAGUCCCGCAACGAGCGCAACCCUUAAGCUUAGUUGCCAUCAUUAAGUUGGGCACUCUAGGUUGACUGCCGGUGACAAACCGGAGGAAGGUGGGGAUGACGUCAAAUCAUCAUGCCCCUUAUGAUUUGGGCUACACACGUGCUACAAUGGAUAAUACAAAGGGCAGCGAAUCCGCGAGGCCAAGCAAAUCCCAUAAAAUUAUUCUCAGUUCGGAUUGUAGUCUGCAACUCGACUACAUGAAGCUGGAAUCGCUAGUAAUCGUAGAUCAGCAUGCUACGGUGAAUACGUUCCCGGGUCUUGUACACACCGCCCGUCACACCACGAGAGUUUGUAACACCCGAAGCCGGUGGAGUAACCUUUUAGGAGCUAGCCGUCGAAGUGACAAGGA